rnacentral:rRNA from 1 species
UACGGAGGGGGCUAGCGUUGUUCGGAAUUACUGGGCGUAAAGCGCACGUAGGCGGCUUUGCAAGUUAGAGGUGAAAGCCCGGAGCUCGACUCCGGAAUUGCCUUUAAAACUGCAUCGCUAGAAUUGUGGAGAGGUAAGUGGAAUUCCGAGUGUAGAGGUGAAAUUCGUAGAUAUUCGGAAGAACACCAGUGGCGAAGGCGGCCACCUGGACUGUACCUGACGCUCAAACACGAAAGCUAGGGGAGCGAACGGG